UAGGAAAUAGAUAUAUAUACAACAAAGUUGUAUAUACAACAAUGUAUAUCCUAUAUAUACAACAAUGUUGUAUACCUACAACAACGGUAUAUCCUAUAUAUACAACAAUGUUGUAUACCUACAACAACGGUAUAUCCUAUAUAUACAACAAUGUUGUAUACCUACAACAACGGUAUAUCCUAUAUAUACAACAAUGUUGUAUACCUACAACAACGGUAUAUCCUAUAUAUACAACAAUUGUUGUAUACCUACAACAACGGUAUAUCCUAUAUAUACAACAAUUGUUGUAUACCUACAACAACGGUAUGUCCUAUACCUACAACAAUAGCAAUCUGGCAACAUCGCAGAAUGGGCGGCAACGACAAGCACUGAAAAGCCCGUGGACGACACCGACUGCCGGCGCCGGCUCACGGUCGUCGCCGCCAUCUUGCCAAGCGGAGAGCGGAGCGCGGACCGGAGCGGAACUGUGAAAAUUCCGGAAAACGAAGCCACGAGCACCAGAAAACAGGAAAUGCUAGUGGGACAAACGACCUGGGGACGACCCUGCGCGUCCAAGUCUGGACGGUGCCGAUUCCCGCGUGGCAUGGACACGACCCGAGGAAGGAAGGAUUUGGCCUUGUUGAGGUUGAGCAGCAGGCCCAGCAAAUGUCGUCCGCAGUGGCGACGAAAUGCAAAACAGGACACCUGGACGGUGCCGAUUUUUGUUCGGUCGAGGAAGGAAGGGUUAGGCCUUGUUGAGGUGAGUAUUUUAGCAGUGAAAUUAGCACUGUGGGCUAAUAAUAAACCUGCCUUGUCUAGGUUGAGCAGCAGGCCCAGCAAAUGUCGUCCGCAGUGGCGACGAAAUGCAAAACAGGACACCUGGAUGGUGCCGAUUUUUGUUCGGUCGAGGAAGGAAGAUUUUUGUGCGGUCGAGGAAGGAAGGGUUAGGCCUUGUUGAGGUUGAGCAGCAGGCCCAGCAAAUGUCGUCCGCAGUGGCGACGAAAUGCAAAACAGGACACCUGGACGGUGCCGAUUUUUGUUCGGUCGAGGAAGGAAGGGUUAGGCCUUGUUGAGGUGAGUAUUUUAGCAGUGAAAUUAGCACUGUGGGCUAAUAAUAAACCUGCCUUGUCUAGGUUGAGCAGCAGGCCCAGCAAAUGUCGUCCGCAGUGGCGUUCAAAUGCAAAACAUGACACCUGGACGGUGCAGAUUUUUGUGCGGUCGAGGAAGGAAGGGUUAGGCCUUGUUGAGGUGAGUAUUUUAGCAGUGAAAUUAGCACUGUGGGCUAAUAAUAAACCUGCCUUGUCUAGGUUGAGCAGCAGGCCCAGCAAAUGUCGUCCGCAGUGGCGUUCAAAUGCAAAACAGGACACCUGGAUGGUGCCGAUUUUUGUUCAGUCGAGGAAGGAAGGGUUAGGCCUUGUUGAGGUGAGAUUUAGCAGUGAAAUUAGCACUGUAGGCUAAUAAUAAACCUGCCUUGUCUAGGUUGAGCAGCAGGCCCAGCAAAUGUCGUCCGCAGUGGCGACGAAAUGCAAAACAGGUCACCUGGACGGUGCCGAUUUUUGUUCGGUCGAGGAAGGAAGGGUUAGGUCUUGUUGAGGUUGAGCAGCAGGCCCAGCAAAUGUCGUCCGCAGUGGCGUUCAAAUGCAAAACAGGACACCUGGACGGUGCCGAUUUUUGUGCGGUCGAGGAAGGAAGGGUUAGGCCUUGUUGAGCACUUAGGACGAGCUGCGGCUGCUGUUCUGAAGAGCGAGCAUUGGCCUUAAACAGAGCUACGACCGCACGAGAUUUCGUCCUGUGACAAGUAUUUUUAAGAGCUACGACAGCUCUUAAAAGUUUUUCAGUGUAGCAUUACAUAUUUUGCUAUACCUGGAAUUUAUUGUUACAUAAGCAAACCUGUAAUUCAAUUCUCUUAAAUUUAACGGUACCUACUAUGAUUUGCAUUAUUGUUACACAGGCAGUCAAAUUUUAUAACUUGCAUUGGAACCAUUAUCAAUAAAUUUUAUCUCCCGCUGAUGAA